rnacentral:rRNA from 1 species
GACGAACGCUGGCGGCGUGCUUAACACAUGCAAGUCGAACGGUAAGGCCCUUCGGGGUACACGAGUGGCGAACGGGUGAGUAACACGUGGGUGAUCUGCCCUGCACUUCGGGAUAAGCCUGGGAAACUGGGUCUAAUACCGGAUAGGACUCCUGGCUUCAUGGUUGGGGGUGGAAAGCUUUUGCGGUGUGGGAUGGGCCCGCGGCCUAUCAGCUUGUUGGUGGGGUAAUGGCCUACCAAGGCGACGACGGGUAGCCGGCCUGGGAGGGUGACCGGUCACACUGGGACUGAGAUACGGCCCAGACUCCUACGGGAGGCAGCUGUGGGGAAUACUGCACAAUGGGCGCAAGCCUGAUGCAGCGACGCCGCGUGAGGGAUGACGGCCUUCGGGUUGUAAACCUCUUUCAGCUAUGACGAAGCGCAAGUGACGGUAGUAGCAGAAGAAGGACCGGCCAACUACGUGCCAGCAGCCGCUGUAA